UGAAUACGAGAUGCUACGGCGUCGAAGCAGUCUAUGUCAUACUUCCAAGAAAAGCUCGCACUGUCAUAAACAAAUAAUGCCUGUACCAUAACCGACACAGGUGGGUAGGUAGAGUAUACUAAGGGGCGCGAGAUAACUCUCUCUAAGGAACUCGGCAAAAUGACUCCGUAACUUCGGGAGAAGGAGUGCCUUAUUUAUAAGGUUGCAAUAACAAGAUCCAAGCAACUGUUUAUCAAAAACACAGGUCUCCGCUAAGUCGUAAGACGAUGUAUGGGGGCUGACGCCUGCCCAGUGCCAGAAGGUUAAAGAAGUUGGUUAGCAUUCGCGAAGCUGAUAACUGAAGCCCUGGUGAACGGCGGCCGUAACAAUAACGGUCCUAAGGUAGCGAAAUUCCUUGUCGGGUAAGUUCCGACCCGCACGAAAGGCGUAAUGAUUUGGAUACUGUCUCGGAGAGGGGCUCGGUGAAAUAGACUUGUCUGUGAAGAUGCGGACUACCUGCACCAGGACAGAAAGACCCUAUGAAGCUUUACUGUAACUUGAGAUUGAAAUUGGACUUUACUUGCGCAGUAUAGGUGGGAGGCGUUGAUAAUAUUCUUGCGGGAUUAUUUGAGCCAUCAGUGAGAUACCACUCUUGUAAUGUUAGAUUUCUAACUUUGUAUCAUUAUCUGGUCAAAGGACAGUUUCAGGCGGGCAGUUUGACUGGGGCGGUCGCCUCCUAAACGGUAACGGAGGCGCACAAAGGUUUCCUCUGAACGGGUAGAAAUCGUAUCUAGAGUGUAAAGGCAUAAGGAAGCUUGACUGUGAGACCUACAAGUCGAGCAGGGACGAAAGUCGGUCUUAGUGAUCUGACGGUGCUGAGUGGAAAGGCCGUCACUCAACGGAUAAAAGUUACUCUAAGGAUAACAGGCUGAUCUCCCCCAAGAGUCCACAUCGACGGGGAGGUUUGGCACCUCGAUGUCGGCUCAUCGCAUCCUGGGGCGGUAGUACGUCCCGAGGGUUGGGCUGUUCGCCCAUGAAAGCGGUACGCGAGCUGGGUUCAGAACGUCGUGAGACAGUUCGGUCCAUAUCCGGUGUAGGCGUUAGAAUAUUGAGAGGAGCCUUCUUUAGUACGAGAGGACCGAGAAGGACAUACCUCUGGUGUACCAGUUAUCGUGCCAACGGUAAACGCUGGGUAGCUAUGUAUGGAGUGGAUAACCGCUGAAAGCAUCUAAGUGGGAAGCCCACCUCAAGAUAAGUAUUCGC
rnacentral:rRNA from 1 species